AUCUAAGUACCCCGAGGAAAAGAAAUCAACCGAGAUUCCCCCAGUAGCGGCGAGCGAACGGGGAGGAGCCCAGAGCCUGAAUCAGCAUGUGUGUUAGUGGAAGCGUCUGGAAAGGCGCGCGAUACAGGGUGACAGCCCCGUACACAAAAGCGCAUGUGCUGUGAGCUCGAUGAGUAGGGCGGGACACGUGGUAUCCUGUCUGAAUAUGGGGGGACCAUCCUCCAAGGCUAAAUACUCCUGACUGACCGAUAGUGAACCAGUACCGUGAGGGAAAGGCGAAAAGAACCCCGGCGAGGGGAGUGAAAAAGAACCUGAAACCGUGU
rnacentral:rRNA from 6 species